AGUUAUUUAUCAGAGAGUCUGAUGCUGAGAGAGAACAGAACUUGCCUGUCACAGUUACUAGAUAUAAUGAAAAGCAUGAGAAACUUAGUAAAAAAGUAUGAACCACCCAGAUCUGAAGAAGUUGCUGUUCUGAAACAGAAGUUGGAGCGAUGCCAUUCUGCUGAGCUUGCACUUAACGUAAUCACGAAGAAGAGGAAAGGCUAUGAAGAUGAUGAUUACGUCUCAAAGAAAUCCAAACAUGAGGAGGAAGAAUGGACUGACGACGACCUGGUAGAAUCUCUCUAACCAUUUGAAGUUGAUUUCUCAAUGCUAACUAACUAAUCAAGAGAAGUAGGAAGCAUAUCAAACGUUUAACUUUAUUUAAAAAGUAUAAUGUGAAAACAAAAUAUAUUAAAACUUUUCUAUUGUUUUCUUCCCCUUUCAUAGUAACUUUAUGUAAAAUAAACCAUCUUC
rnacentral:sRNA from 1 species